CUUUUCCUCUGCACUGGUUUUCAUAAAGCUCCCCCUAUACAACCACGUGGAUUCAAUAUUGGAAAUAUUCCUUUAAUUUAGCCAUUUUGUCUAAUAUCAAUUCUGAUAUCGACUUGACAGAAUUAGACAGACUGCACUGCAGUGUACGAGCAGUAGUCAUCGGCUUUCCUGUCAUAUGAUGCCUUCAUGUGGUGUGCUCUGUUCCGGACUUGUGCAGUGCACAUUUUCUGCAUAUACUCUAACCUUAAACCACCAUCGACAGCUAGACAUCCGAUC